CUAGGCCCACCUAAAUAAUCGAGUCCCUCACCUGCCCUCAAAUGUGCACGCACUCAUGAACGACGCUUUCUCAAACGAGAACAGGAUCAACGUUCUAUUAUGACGUCAUUCCUAGACACGGCCAUCGAAUCUUUUCCAACCACCCAGCUGCUGGAAGCAACGAUACGCGUCAAGUUGCAGCCUUGUGGCUCACUGUUCCGAGGACGUCUCCUGACGUCUCGGAUAUCCCGUGACGUACGGUCGCUUCAGGACCGUAAAACCUAUCUUUAUGGUUCACACCCCGGAUGCUGCGAGGAAGAGCCCGAUCCUCCUACUGACAUGGUAUCACCUGGCGUUUCACUGAUCUAGUUCUAGGUUUCUUUGGAUAAGUUCAAUAUUGUAAAAAUCGAUACAAAUGCAUUUAACUUCGAAGAAAAUUUCUGUUGAAAUUUUAAAAUACGUAGGUUGAUUACGUAGUUGUCAUUUUUAUAUGAAUUAUGUUUUCUUUUGUUCAGUUUAUAAAACAUUUCGCCGAUCCAUGAAAAGCAAGGGUUUUGAGAGAAUUUCUUUAAUACAACAGUUGAAAAAUAUAGUAUUUAAUUGGAGAAUAAUCAAAAUUGAGUUAUAUAUCUAAUAUUUU
rnacentral:misc_RNA from 1 species